AAUUUAUUUAUUUGCUCUUUCUGUAUGUUGGUAACUAGCUAGUAGUUGGUAGUUUUGACGUUGCACUACUUCUUUCCAAGUUUUCAAUGUUAAUCUACUUUUACAAACUUUUGUGCUAUAGAUAAAUAGGACUCUUUGCUCAUUUUUCGACACGUAAUUGAUACUUCCCACGUAUCUCUAUCUGUCUCUUCUAUCACAUCACAUUAUCAAUAAUGUCAAUUACUUAUCUCUCUUCUUCCAAUUUCCAUUGUUACUACUAUAUGCUGAAAUGGGAUACUUUGGGCUGUUCAGUUUUUGAAUUGUUAUCCUAUAAUAGAUAAAUGCAACAGAAGGCAGUUAACCAGAAUUCAAUAAUAACUUUGAUGUUAAUAGUUUGUUGAUGUAUCACUUGAUAUUGGCUCUAAAUGUUUUAUUAUUUUUUUAUGGGCAAUGGGCCAUGAUUGUCCUCAAUUAAGGCAAAUGCAGGUUUGGUUGCCUAACAUUAGCCAAUAUGAAAUCAUUUGUGUUCCCAUGGAAGUGUAAAGUUAAGCCCCAUAUAAAAGCAAAGCACUCUUUAAUGUAUGUAUCUAUGAUAUAAAAUAUUGAAUUCCAUUUUUUUGUUAAGUUUACACUAGAUAUGAUCAUGUGCCUACAUUUUACAUUACAAAGAAUAAGAUGAUCACAUGCAUGCUUAUGUCCAUUGCCAAAAUAUGAUGACGGAAAAUUGUCCUCAAGGGUGAGCCUUCAGUGGGAUUAAGAGUGGAAAUCCAGAGAAAAAUGGAAUGAGAAACUGAGAGAAAAAAGGUGACUUCACGAUACCCACACUCCCCCUAGCAGGACUCCUUAAAUCCCCUCUACUCCUAACAAUCCAAUCCUACGUGACAUGACCAACUCUUUUCUUUCCAUUAUUUCUCCGCCCCCUCAGAAGUCAGAACAUACACUUUCAGUGGUCUUGGGCCUCUAUCAUAAACUAAGCUCAUUAUCAUUCCCCUAAAUAUUCUCAUCAAUACUCACUUGCCACUGAACAGCCUUAUCCCCAAUGCCGAAGUAAAGGAAUUGCCUUUGGAUGACUGAGGAAGCCUCUCUCAUUGCCUCUGUAGUGGUUGCUAUCAAAACAUUGGGAAUCUAUCGAAUUCCGUUAGUAUUGGUGCGGGAACAAAGGAAUUCUAGUACACGAUGGUGACCUUGUAAUUCCAAAUUAAACAGCAAGUGGGAAAUAGUCACCUGAACCCCAACAGCCCUUUUGAUCUACAAAACAUGGAAAAUAGGAUGCACAGGGGGAUCCUUCAGGCAAUUGCAACUCGUGGGCUACUGAACUAACCUUGUUUUUAGUCUGAAAAGGUCCAUAAUACCUAGCAGAAGCACUUUCUUGUGGAUACUAAAUACUGUCUACGGGGGCUUAGUUUGAGAUACACCUAAUCUCCCUCCGCAAAACUGAUGUCUCACUAAUGUUUAUUAGCAGCCAUACACAUUCAGUUCUGAGGCCUUUGUAAAUUGUGUUUGAGCUGCUGAAGAUGGACCCUCAUCUUUCUGUCUUGAAGAUCAUUGGCUACAGAUUCAACCAAACAUUUCCCAGGUACAAGCAGUGGUCAGAGACACCAGGGCCAGAGAUCACAAGCUAUGAGUACUGUCACCCACGGAAAGUCUAUUGCCACCAUAGGGAAUUUGAAGAGUGACCCUGAUCAUCUCCUUGUUCUUGUUCAUGGUAUCUUGGCUAGCACAGCGGACUGGACUUAUGCAGAAGCAGAGUUGAAAAGGCGCCUUGGAAAAAACUUUUUAAUAUAUGUAAGUUCAUCAAAUACUUACACGAAGACAUUUACUGGGAUUGAUGGAGCUGGAAAACGAUUAGCUGAUGAAGUCUUGCAAGUUGUUAAAAAGACACGUAGCCUGAAAAAAAUCUCCUUUCUAUCCCACUCUUUGGGAGGCUUGUUUGCUAGAUAUGCAAUUGCUGUCCUCUAUUCACCUGAUGCCUAUAGUAGGGACCAAACAAGUGAUCUAGCAAUCAGCAUGACAGAAAAUUCCCUGGGAACAAGCUUUUCCAGAGGAGGGAUGAUCGCUGGGUUGGAGCCAAUCAAUUUUAUAACUCUAGCAACUCCACAUCUUGGCGUAAGAGGAAAGAAUCAGCUUCCAUUUUUGUUGGGUGUCUCAAUCCUAGAAAAGCUUGCUGCACCUAUAGCUCCUUUUUUUGUUGGCCAGACAGGUAGUCAGUUGUUCCUCACUGAUGGUAAACCUGACAAACCACCUCUUUUAUUGAGAAUGGCUUCUGAUUGUGAAGAUGGAAAGUUUCUAUCUGCACUUGGAGCAUUUAGAUGUCGCAUGAUUUAUGCUAAUGUUUCAUAUGAUCAUAUGGUUGGGUGGCGCACAUCCUCUAUAAGGAGGGAAACUGAGCUCAGUAAGCCUCCUCGACAAUCUUUAGAUGGAUACAAGCACGUGGUUGAUGUGGAAUAUUGUCCCCCAGUUCCGUCUGAUGGUCCUCAAUUUCCUCCAAAAGCAGUGAAAGCAAAGGAAGCAGCACAAAAUGCGCCCAAUUCCCAUAAUACUGUGGAAUAUCAUGAAAUUAUAGAAGAUGAAAUCAUUCGGGGAUUACAGCAGUUGGGAUGGAAAAAAGUUGAUGUCAGCUUUCAUUCAGCAUUUUGGCCAUUCUUCGCACAUAACAACAUUCAUGUGAAAAAUGAAUGGCUUCACAAUGCUGGUGUAGGAGUAAUUGCUCAUGUGGCUGACAGCUUAAGACACCAAGAAGCAUCAUCAGUUUUUUCUGCUAGCUUGUAACUAGUUCGCAACUUUCAGAACACAUUGUUCGAGGCAAAAGGAAGAUAAAAAUGGAUGCUUUUUUGUUUGAUCAGAUGGCUUCAUGGAAGUAAUUGAAUCUGUAGUCUCUUCAGUCUGCAGCGGUUUUAUGUACAUGUUGCCUGGCCUGUUGUUUGCUAGUUCGAACCUUACCUAGGUAGCAGCAUGACAAUGCUACCAACAAAGUCCACACAAUCCCAAAAAUUCUAUUGCAUUCAAGAAAAAUUAUGCCUUUGUUAACUGGAAAAGUUCAUAAAUGUACACUUACCUAAGUUUUUAAUUAUCGAAGUCCACAAGGCAAUCAUUCCAAAACCAUCCUUGUGCAUGGGAAUUCAUUCACCCAAAGUAAAUAUAUGUACUUAACUUGUUCAUACCAUUGAUGUUAAAUGAGUAUAUGAUCAUUGUGGUCUUUAAUUA